GCGUACGAGAUUAUGCGCAUGCAUUCUCACCUCGGUCAUUGUUUUGAUAGACAUGCAACGAGUAGUGUGAGAGAGACGCUCACUCUCUGGGAACGGUGUACAACAGUAUGUUGAGCAUUUCAACCCUCGUGAGGUGAAUGUGAUGUUCUGUAGGAGCUGAUUGUUACGCUCUUCACCAAUCAGCUGAUUGAACUUCUAUUCAAUAUGAAGGGAAGGGCAAAAAAGAUAAAAUUUGAAUUGAAGACAAUAAAUUGUUUUCAGCAAUAAAAGCUGCUGUCAUGAAAUGGGACCCAGCUGCUACAGAGGCCCAAAUAAAGUCUGCUGCAUCUGAUCAUCUGAAACAUGCCCCGGGAGAGUCAGGGGUGGUGGCUGUAAAUGAAUAUAUUGUGGACCUUAUAGCAGCCACAUUUUGUUAAUUGUUUACUGUUUUAACAAAAUUUUAUAGCACUUUUAUUUAUAACUUUACUGUUCAGGUUUUAAGUUGUAUUGUGUUAAUUUAUACUUGACUGUUCAGGUUUUAAGUUGUAUUGUGUUAAUUUAUACUUGACUGUUCAGGUUUUAAGUUGUAUUGUGUUAAUUUAUACUUGACUGUUCAGGUUUUAAGUUGUAUUGUGUUAAUUUAUACUUGACUGUUCAGGUUUUAAGUUGUAUUGUGUUAAUUUAUACUUGACUGUUCAGGUUUUAAGUUGUAUUGUGUUAAUUUAUACUUUACUGUUCUGGUUUUAAGCUUGGGUAAAAUUUGUAAUAAAAAU